rnacentral:rRNA from 1 species
UACGUAGGGUGCAAGCGUUAAUCGGAAUUACUGGGCGUAAAGCGCACGUAGGCGGAUUGUUAAGUCGGGGGUGAAAUCCUGAGGCUCAACCUCAGAACUGCCUUCGAUACUGGCAAUCUCGAGUCCGGGAGAGGUGAGUGGAAUUCCUAGUGUAGAGGUGAAAUUCGUAGAUAUUAGGAAGAACACCAGUGGCGAAGGCGGCUCACUGGCCCGGUACUGACGCUGAGGCGCGAAAGCGUGGGGAGCAAACAGG